rnacentral:rRNA from 1 species
AGAGUUUGAUCCUGGUUCAGGACGAACGCUGGCGGCGUGCUUAACACAUGCAAGUCGAACGGUUCUCGAAGUUCGAGGUUGGAUGUUCGAAGUCCUUCUCGACGUUCGAGGUUAGAAGUUCGAAGUUCGAAUAGAAGGAAUUGGCGUAAACGCCAAUUCCAACAAGCAUCGAACCCCUAACAUCGAAUUUCGAAUAUCGAGAAAGAGACUCGAAUCUCGAACCUCGAAUUUCGAGGAUAGUGGCGGACGGGUGAGUAACACGUGGAUAACCUGCCUGUAAGACCGGGACAACACCUGGAAACGGGUGCUAAUACCGGGUAAGCUCUUUGCGCCGCGUGGGAAGAAGAGGAGAGGGGAAACCCGCUUACAGAUGGAUCCGCGGCCCAUUAGCUAGUUGGCGGUGUAACGGACCACCAAGGCGACGAUGGGUAGCCGGCCUGAGAGGGUGGACGGCCACACUGGAACUGAGACACGGUCCAGACUCCUACGGGAGGCAGUAGUGGGGAAUCUUGCGCAAUGGGCGAAAGCCUGACGCAGCAACGCCGCGUGCGGGAUGAAGGCCUUCGGGUUGUAAACCGCUUUCAGCAGGGACGAAAAUGACUGUACCUGCAGAAGAAGCCCCGGCUAACUACGUGCCAGCAGCCGCGGUAAUAC